GACGAACGCUGGCGGCGUGCUUAACACAUGCAAGUCGAACGGAAAGGCCCUGCUUUUGUGGGGUGCUCGAGUGGCGAACGGGUGAGUAACACGUGAGUAACCUGCCCUUGACUUUGGGAUAACUUCAGGAAACUGGGGCUAAUACCGGAUAGGAGCUCCUGCUGCAUGUUGGGGGUUGGAAAGUUUCGGCGGUUGGGGAUGGACUCGCGGCUUAUCAGCUUGUUGGUGGGGUAGUGGCUUACCAAGGCUUUGACGGGUAGCCGGCCUGAGAGGGUGACCGGCCACAUUGGGACUGAGAGACGGCCCAGACUCCUACGGGAGGCAGCAGGGGGGAAUAUUGCACAAUGGGCGGAAGCCUGAUGCAGCAACGCCGCGUGCGGGAUGACGGCCUUCGGGUUGUAAACCGCUUUCGCCUGUGACGAAGCGGGAGUGACGGUAAUGGGUAAAGAAGCACCGGCUAACUACGUG
rnacentral:rRNA from 1 species